rnacentral:lncRNA from 1 species
UCUGUCUCUACAAAGUAGGAUGAAGUGCUAUCGGAUUCUUGCAAGUUCGUCGAUAAUGACCAAUUGAAUCACAUCUUGAAAACUUACGAGUUGAUGAUUCUUUCGCCUACCGUACCUUGUUUGUGUAAUUACAAUUCUAUCUACAUCAUCAGGCCACUGCCAGCAAAAUUAUCAAGUAGCAGGCAUUUUUUGUAACCACCAAACAAAACUAAAACAGAUUGAAAAACUAAAAUGCAAAACAAAAACGAGGAGCAGUCAGUUAAAGCUUGAGCAUCAGUCUUCCUUCUUUUGAAGUAUUUACAUCAAAGACCAUCCAAGUCUAAAGCUGCAUUAGUCUCUGUCUGAAAGGGGGAAGCAUGACGCUGCUGGCAUAUGCAUAUAUUGUGGUGGAUGGAUAGUAUUAAUGAUGAGGUUAGGGGUGUCGCAAGCUAUGCCCAUUUUGGUGAAAAAAAACUCUCUGUGCUUUCUGCCACUGCCAUUUUGGUGAAAAAAGCUUUCAAUACUCCCCCUCUCCCCCCAAAAUCUCUUUAUUGUCUUCUGGUUGGUUGGCUCAGCUCAGCUCAACUCACUUGAAUUAAAACACCCCCACACCACAGCUGCCCUCUCUAGAAUUGAAACCACAGCUUUCAAGUGCUUCCUUCCUCCUCCUUCCUCCUACAAUGUCUGCAAAGAAAAUUCCCCAUUUCAUGAAGACGAUCAUGAACACGAAUGCUAGAGACAAAAGACUUGUAAGCAACCCCAACUCUACCUUUAACUUCUGCUUUAUGAACGAAAUAGGAGGGCUUUGUUUUCUAUUUUGACUCGUCGUGCUCUGUCUGAGAUAAGACCCGCCGUUUCAUGCUACUUUUCUUGACCCAUUCAAGCCAUGAAAGAGGUCGGAGGCCUGGUAACUCCAGAAAGCAGAGAAAGACAAACGAGCGGAACCUCUAACAUUUUUAUGGGUCUUGCAGAGUCUUGUCCUAAAGUC